AGACCGGUUUAUUGGUCGUGCUUCUGUACGUACUGGUAUUAUUGGUUUCUCCUUUCUGACGAAUCUUAAUGCCAUUAAUUUGGUGUUUUGGGGAAUCAGGACUGUUACUUUGAAAAAAUUAGAGUGUUUAAAGCAGGCAUACGCUUGAAUACAUUAGCAUGGAAUAAUGAAAUAGGACGUUUGAUUCUAUUUUGUUGGUUUCUAGGAUCGACGUA
rnacentral:rRNA from 1 species